UUCACUUUGAGCUUCGAAUAUUUUAUUUUGUAUUUCAGCAGGAGGAUCUUGUAGUUUAUGCGUUGGGAGAUAAGAAGCCAGUGUAACUCACGGAUAAGAGGGGUGAUAUGCUACCGGGACUUGGUGCGAGUGAGUAGUCUGGCCGCAGAGUUUUGAACCAUUUGGAGCUUAAAGAGAGGUUUGUCACCACCACAUGAAAAAAUAGGGAACUCCAAAUAACUGUGACUGGUUUUGGAUUCACUGUCUUUCAACCCCAGCUGAAGAUACAAAAUGGAACGACUUCUAUGGCUGCUGAUGGUCUUCACAUGCUGUUAUGCCGUGCCAAAAGUUUAGACCUGUGAGGUGUGAAUGAAGCGUGAAAAGGAAAUCAACAAAAUGGUGUACUUUUGACAAGAAAGGGCCCACUGUCAGGACUCAGCCCUCCUGAACUGUGUCUGUCAUUACAUCUUCCCAAGUACCAGUCUCCUUGUUCCCAGC